rnacentral:rRNA from 1 species
UACGUAGGUGGCAAGCGUUGUCCGGAUUUACUGGGCGUAAAGAGCGCGCAGGCGGUCGUUCAAGUCGAGUGUGAAAGCCCCCGGCUCAACUGGGGAGGGUCACUCGAUACUGAUCGACUUGAAGGCAGGAGAGGGAAGCGGAAUUCCCGGUGUAGUGGUGAGAUGCGUAGAUAUCGGGAGGAACACCAGUGGCGAAGGCGGCUUCCUGGCCUGUUCUUGACGCUGAGGCGCGAAAGCUAGGGGAGCAAACGGG